GGCGGCAAGGCCUAGAUGACAGGAAUCAUAAUCCUCGUGUCGGGGGUUCGAGUCCCUCUCCCGCUACCA
rnacentral:tRNA from 1 species